rnacentral:rRNA from 1 species
AACGAACGCUGGCGGCAUGCCUAACACAUGCAAGUCGAACGAGACCUUCGGGUCUAGUGGCGCACGGGUGCGUAACGCGUGGGAAUCUGCCCUUGGGUUCGGAAUAACUCAGAGAAAUUUGAGCUAAUACCGGAUGAUGACGUAAGUCCAAAGAUUUAUCGCCCAAGGAUGAGCCCGCGUAAGAUUAGCUUGUUGGUAGGGUAAUGGCCUACCAAGGCGACGAUCUUUGGCUGGUCUGAGAGGAUGAUCAGCCACACUGGGACUGAGACACGGCCCAGACUCCUACGGGAGGCAGCAGUGGGGAAUAUUGGACAAUGGGCGAAAGCCUGAUCCAGCAAUGCCGCGUGAGUGAUGAAGGCCUUAGGGUUGUAAAGCUCUUUUACCAGGGAUGAUAAUGACAGUACCUGGAGAAUAAGCUCCGGCUAACUCCGUG